rnacentral:rRNA from 1 species
GAUGAACGCUGGCGGCGUGCCUAAUACAUGCAAGUCGAGCGAACCGACGAGGAGCUUGCUCCUUUGACGUUAGCGGCGGACGGGUGCGUCACACGUGGGUAACCUAACUAUACGACUGGGAUAACAUCGGGAAACCGGAGCUAAUACCGGAUAAUAUUUCGAACUGCAUGGUUCGAUAGUGAAAGAUGGUUUUUCUAUCACUUAUAGAUGGCCCUGGGCCGUAUUAGUUUGUUGGUGAGGUAACGGAUUACCAAGGCAACGACACGUAGCCGACCUGAGAGGGUGAUCGGCCAGACUGGAACAGAGGCACAGUCCAGACUCCGAGAGUGAGCAGCAGUAGAGAAUCUUCCGCAAUGGACGAAAGCCUGACAGUGCAACGCCGCGUGAGGGAUGAUGGACUUCGGAUCGGAGAGUUCUGUAAUUAUUGGAGUACAAACGUGUAAGUAACUGUGCACAUCAUGACGGUACCGGAUCAGAAAGCCACGGCUAACUACGUG